UGUUUUGUUUCUAUCAAAAUGCUUAGUAUUAUAUCGAGGUUCUUACGAAUCGGGUGUUUAGAUCCAAAAGAGAAGUGAAGGAAUACUUACUAACAGGAUCAUGCCCGAAAAGGCAAAAGGGUAAAGUCUGCGCCAUGAGAGGGCAAAUGUCAGUGGCAAAGGCACAAAAAUGCCAGGAUUCAAAUGAAAGGCCAAAGGCAAUAUCCAAUAAAAGGGCAAAAGCAGAUCAUGCGUUUUCUGGUCAAGCUUGUUUCAUGAGAGGGCAACUGCCGUUUGCAGAGGCACAACAUUACAUGGAAUCAGAGAAACUAUCCGUUACUGCCAUUGUACCUUGUCUUCCUCCGAAUCCCUAAGGAAUUAUGCAUCAUUUAGUCACCUUUACUUGCAUUUACUUCAAAUCUAAAGAUGUUAGAUAUGGUUUCUUAUAUCCAGUUGUCCACAU